rnacentral:rRNA from 1 species
AUUGAACGCUGGCGGCAUGCCUUACACAUGCAAGUCGAACGGUAACAGGUCCUCGGAUGCUGACGAGUGGCGAACGGGUGAGUAAUACAUCGGAACGUGCCUAGUAGUGGGGGAUAACUACUCGAAAGAGUGGCUAAUACCGCAUGAGAUCUACGGAUGAAAGCAGGGGAUCGCAAGACCUUGUGCUACUAGAGCGGCCGAUGGCAGAUUAGGUAGUUGGUGGGAUAAAAGCUUACCAAGCCGACGAUCUGUAGCUGGUCUGAGAGGACGAUCAGCCACACUGGGACUGAGACACGGCACAGACUCCUACGGGAGGCAGCAGUGGGGAAUUUUGGACAAUGGGCAAAAGCCUGAUCCAGCAAUGCCGCGUGCAGGAUGAAGGCCUUCGGGUUGUAAACUGCUUUUGUACGGAACGAAAAGUCCCGGGUAAUACCCUGGGGUCAUGACGGUACCGUAAGAAUAAGCACCGGCUAACUACGUGCCAGCCGCCGCGGUAA